GGUUAACGCUGGCGGCGCGCAUAACACAUGCAAGUCGAGCGAGGGCUUAUUUCUCGCAAGAGAGAUGAGUUCCUAGCGGCGAACGGGUGAGUAACACGUGGGCAACCUUUCCUAUCGCGGGGAUAACACCGGGAAACCGAUGCUAAUACCGCAUGUCGUCACUGGUCGCAUGGCUGGUGAAGAAAGCAGCAAUGCACGAUGGGGGUGGCCCGCGGCCAUCAGCUAGUCGGUGGGGUAACGGCCUACCGAGGCGAUGACGGGUAGCUGGUCUGAGAGGACGGCCAGCCACGACGGGGACUGAGAC
rnacentral:rRNA from 1 species